GACAGAGGUGCCGAGCGUUAGGCGGAAUCACUGGGCUUAAAGCGUGUGUAGGCGGGUCGUUAAGUGUCUUGUGAAAUCCCCGGCUCAACCGGGGAAUGGCUGGGCAUACUGGCGAUCUUGAGCAGUCUAGGGGCAGAUGGAACAAGUGGUGGAGCGGUGAAAUGCGUAGAUAUCACUUGGAACGCCACGGUGAAGACAGUCUGCUGGGGACUUGCUGACGCUGAGACACGAAAGCCAGGG
rnacentral:rRNA from 1 species